UGGCUCUUCACCUUGAAAGAAGGAUAUGUUUUCUGUGCUAAAUGAGAAUGGAAGUACUGCAUCAGUUCAAAUUAAAUGCAAUGUGCAGAUGAGACAAAACUGUAGUGUCUGGGAGCACACUUUCAAUGUAGCACUCAGAGAGCUUCUGGAAAACCAAGAGAAUAAAUGCAGCCAGAAAUGUAACCAGCAGUAUGGUUCCACUUAGCCCUAUGGCAUCUGUGCCUCUUGCUGCUGCUACAGGAACACUCCUCUGUCGUUUGGAGGAGCACAUUCCCUUCAUCAGCUGCUACACAGAAAUGAUGGGUGCACAGCUCCCCCUGCAGCCCUGCACCUUCUCUUCAAAAACCAUUGGGAUCACAAGAAUGGAUGCUCCUGGCUUUUGAUGACUUCGUCACUGGAAAAUAUCUUUUGCACCUGAGUCCUUUUCACCAGUGGGGACUUGUUCUUGUCUGUAAUAAACUUGCAGAUUGACAUCGUUGCCCUCUAGUGCAUCUUCUUGGAGCUCUCCUCAGACCACAUCAUGUUUUUCACAGAUGAGUGUAUUUGUUAACUUUAAAGAUGGUUAACUCUGCUGUGGAAAGGGACCCAUUUAAGCAAAGAUGUUCUUCAUCUGGAUUGAAUUUGAUUGUGGAUGCUUGUCUUCAUGCAUAAUGAUCCGAAGCUAAAGGAUGAAAGUGUUGGAGCAAAGAAAACACAUUUUGAAUCUUUACUGUAAAUCAUACACUAUACAAAAUCAGUCCAAAUUGUUCAAACCCUUGGACAAUUACAAUGUUAUUCUUCUCACCAUGCUGAGUACUGUGUAAUUAUCAUGGUUAGCAGCAGUUUGCUUGCUCUUAGUCCUGAAGGGAGAUGCAAGCUUUACUGAACAAGAAAUAAAAGCAGAUGUUAGACCUUAUUUUGUUUUCUGACUCAGCAACUGAAAAUACCCACAAAAUCUGAAGGAUUUUUUCCCACUUAUUUAAUUCAUAUAGCAUUAACAAAAACAGUUCUAUUGAUCAAAUAUGCACUGUGCUGUACAUAAUGGAUAGUGUGGUUAGUUGCAUGAUUAAAGAAUUUGCUAAGUUGCAAUCCCCAGCUUCAUUUGUAGAAAGAAAGAAGAAAAUCAGAGAUAUUGUUGCCAGAGAUGGAAGAUCCAACUAACAAGGAACAUUUCAUUGGUUUUCCAGUUUCCAGGCUCACCCUUCUCCUGUGAAGUCAAUGACAGCUUUGUUUGCAUAGUUAAUCAUGCAGGAAACAUACUUCACAUUAAUUUCAUUU